CAAAGGGUGAAAAAAGAAUGUCAAGUCUGCAGGAAGCACCUCCUUGAGCAGAGGCCAGGGCCACCUGGAAGCAGGUGCUCAGAGGAAGUACCUGAGUCCACUGACAAAAGUCAAUAAGAGUGACAGAGUGACACCUGAGCUGCCAUGGAAGGAGAGCUGGGCUGGGAGUUCUGGCUGGAGAGAAGAUGGUGUGUAUACAAGUACUGAGGCAUGAAAAAGGAAGCUAUAUUCAGGGAACUGCCUGGAAUUCCAUAUAAGCACAGGGCAACAUUA